rnacentral:rRNA from 1 species
AUGCUACGCUGGAGGCCCCUGUCGCGCGACACGGGGGCAACUGCCUCCGCGCCGUGGCGACAGCCGCCUCCUCCUUGGUUUGGUCGUCUAUGGACGCCGGCCGAAGCCGCGCUUGUAGGUGCGGGAGCGAGGACGCCGUCGUGCGCCAAGAACCGCGUCGCUUCGUUGACGGUCGUGAAGACCAAGAGUGCCUGUACACCGAAGAUCGCGUCGCUUCCAUGGACGGCGUCGAGGACGUCCAUCAUCGCCUUAUGCGUGCGCCCUGACAACUGCCGCACGCGUGCUCGUCGAAGACACUGUGCCGAAUGA